rnacentral:rRNA from 1 species
GACGAACGCUGGCGGCGUGCUUAACACAUGCAAGUCGAACGCUGAAGCACCAGCUUGCUGGUGUGGAUGAGUGGCGAACGGGUGAGUAAUACGUGAGUAACCUGCCCUUGACUCUGGGAUAAGCCCGGGAAACUGGGUCUAAUACUGGAUGCUACAUGUCACCGCAUGGUGGUGUGUGGAAAGGGUUUACUGGUCUUGGAUGGGCUCACGGCCUAUCAGCUUGUUGGUGAGGUAAUGGCUCACCAAGGCGACGACGGGUAGCCGGCCUGAGAGGGUGACCGGCAACACUGGGGCUGAGACACGGCCCAGACUCCUACGGGAGGCAGCAGUGAGAAAUAUUGCACAAUGGGCGAAGGCCUGAUGCAGCGACGCCACGGGGAGGAUGACGGCCUUCGGGUUGUAAACCUCUUUCAGCAGGGAAGGAGCCACAAGUGACGGUACCUGCAGAAGAAGCGCCGGCUAACUACGUG